AGCAAGCAGAGACACCAAGGGAGAGGCUGCAGGGAUGCUGCCGGUCCCUCGUCCCCCGCCCUGAGGGUCUCUGCUGGGGGGCUUCACCAUGACCUUCUCCAGGCUCAUCGGCCGCUGUGCUGUGAUACUGCUCCUGGCCGUGCUGUGCGAUGUGGUCGGGCUGAUCAUCCUCCUCCUGGGAAUUUUUGCUCCACUAAGCUCCUGGGACUUCUUUGUUUACUUGGGAGCUCUGCUACUCGCCUUCAGCCUUGUCUUCUGGACCUUCUGGUACACAUUCAACAUCGAGGUCUCCUUUAGGGAGCUAGGUUUUAACUAACCCGCGGCUCCAUUAAAACCAAAAUGGAAACUUGCACAUAGAGGAGAAACAUCACAAGCUGGGAAGCUCUCAAGCAUCAUCCAAUUGGUGAAGAGCAUUCAAAACGACCAAAGGGGAGGGUUUGCUGGUUUCUGCAGCAUCGACCAGCCAGAUGGACCCUCAGGGGAAAGCCAGGAAGUUUUCUCAGCCCUCCCAGGAGCGUGGAAGCUGCAGUGUGAGUCACAGUGAUUUACUGCCUUACACUUACCAGGAUGCCCAGACCAGGAGUUCAGCUUUACCCUCCACCAGCAGGUCCCAGGAUGCUUUUCCACCAGUGCGCCCUUGGGACUACCUCUUGCAAGAAUUUCCGUGAUGCUCCUCCAGAUAAGAGCCUGUAAAAACCAUUAGCUGGAUACUGCAGCUAUGCAUAAGGAAGGGCAGCAGAAAACAGAAAAGGACCAGACUGUGAAUGUAAGGACCAAGCAGGGGAGUAACACCAAACAAGGACUGUUGUGCUACUCUUGGAAACCCAUCACUGAAAAUACAGAUAGAGCUGGCUACAUGGAUCUGCUGGGCACAUUGUUCCACUCUGGCACCCGUUGAAUAGUGGAAACCCUCACCCACUGCCACCCACCUUCAUUGUCUCAAGAUGGCCCAAUGCGAGUACCCUGGUAGGAGCGGAGAUGCUGCGAGCUGUCCUGACCGCGGGCCUGGUGCAGGUCACAGGAUCUGGCUGACAGGCUGGACCAGUUCUGCAGACCUCACCCCCUGGAUGUGCAGAACUGGUUCAAUGGGGCUCACAGCUGGAGGGACUGCCUGAGGUGCAGCUGACUCCUGGCUUGGGGAACUCCUCUGAACACUGAUGCACUCAACAGAAGCAGGAGACGACAAAAUCAGACAGGACAGAGGAUUUCCUGAGCAAAAUCCAGCUGCUGUCUGGGUAGGGGCCUUAGGUACAUUUUUCCCAUUCUCACCAAGGUCCAAGGAACUUUCUAAGUGGCAUUUAAUGAAAUACUCAGAAGAUCUUGGUUCAAAGAACUACUGGAGCCAUGGGCAGUUGCAAAGGGCAGGAAAGGAUAUAGUGCUUCAGCUGCCAAACCAGUGGUGGCUCAACACGGAAACAGACUUCACGGCUGACUCAGAACACAAAUCUCAGGUAGGAGGAAAGGAGACCCAAAGACCCCUAUCUCCAUCUUCCCAUGUUCCUGGUGCUGUGUUCAGCUGACCAUAAAGACAUUUGUGUAGGAUGGAAGCACAUCUAACACUUAUCAAAUAGGUCGUUCGGCAUUUUCCACUACGGACAUCUCUUUUGAAUUGUUUGCAACCUUACCACAAUUUAUGUCUUUGUGAUCCCCCAUCCUGGACAAUCUACCUCUGAGAUGAAGUUGGGUGAUUCCUUUGGUCCUUCUCUGUGGAGACCAGCUGACAGGACAGUGCCAACACUCAGGGACUUCUCUGUAAGUCAAGACACACUCCACUAAAUGGGCUCAUUAUGGAGAUGCAUUGACCUGAUGCAGGAGACACGUCCUGCACCAUUUCAGAAAGACCUCCGCAGACUUCCCUGCAGUGAAGGAGAUGUGAUUUGGGCCCAAUGUGCACAUGUUGCUUGCAUUCACUCCAGCCCCAUCAGCCAUUUCAUGCAGAGUUAGAGGGUCCAGGGAGAGUACAGAAAGAACAAAACACUUGGAUCUUCAAAGGGAGGGCUGAACUGGGCUUGCUAACAUUCACUGCUGCCUCAAGAACAGCACGGACAAUGUAAUACUUUAUGGGUAGUAUUAGGCCUUUUCUGGCCUUGCUGGACUUAAUUUUAGCAUAUUGGGCAAUAGAUGGUAGUGGGGUUUGUGGGCAAGUUGUUCAUCAUGGCAACUGCUGACCCACCGGAGUCAAGUAGCUCUUCUCUGUCCCUAGUUCCUGGGGCAUGACACUGGUGGCAGGGCUGGCAUCUCAGCCUCUGCCAUGAGGAGACAACUGGUGUCCCCUGCAGCCAUCUAACCAUGCUAUCCUCCCACCCUGGGAAGGAAGGCUCCCUGCUAAACUCCAUGGGUGUGCUGUACAGGUCCCACAGCCUCAAAGUACUGAAAUUAUGUUUGAAACUUAGGCCUGUUUGGGACGUAAUCCUGUCCCAGGUAGAACCUUCCAGUUCCCCAGAACAUCAGUCAGAAGAUCAUCACGCCAAGGGAUGCCAUCGAGUGUGUCGAGCAAGGUACGAGGCUGUCCUCUGGGGAUGCAGAGCAGAGCCUGUGCCGGGGUGUUUUGCAGCAUUCUGCUUUGUUCUGGGGGAACUGUUUUGAUGUCACAUUUCUGGGACUUUUUUAUUAAAGUUGCUACCCUUCUUUUCAAAGCUGUUUCUUUACUGACGGAUGGGGUAAAGCAGGAACUCUGGUUGCAGCAACUCUGUUGAAGUGUAGCUCUUACACAAGGGAGAAUCAGAGCUGGAAAACGUGGUAGCACAUGUGGGAUAAAUCAUAGAGCCAGAACAUUGGUGGCAAACAUCAUUAACCCUUCUCUGGCAAAGAGACUCCCUCCUGUGCAAGUAACCUUUUGUUAAGAAAAGAAGACCUUUAAAACCACAGGCACUCUUGACACUUCUGCAUUUGUAGUCAGUCCUGCAAUGGACUCUCCUGAGGUCAUUAAUUAAUUAUUUUUCCUUGGAAGGUAGAAUCUUGUUAAGAUGA